rnacentral:lncRNA from 1 species
CCUGGAUGAAUUCUGGCCCUUCAGAGAGUCGGCCCUACCACGGCAUGCAUGGAGGUGGUCCUGGUGGGCCCGGAGGUGGCCCCCACAGCUUCCCACACCCAUUACCCAGCCUGACAGGUGGGCAUGGUGGACAUCCCAUGCAGCACAACCCCAAUGGACCCCCACCCCCUUGGAUGCAGCCACCACCACCACCGAUGAACCAGGGCCCCCACCCUCCUGGGCACCAUGGCCCUCCUCCAAUGGAUCAGUACCUGGGAAGUACGCCUGUGGGCUCUGGGGUCUAUCGCCUGCAUCAAGGAAAAGGUAUGAUGCCGCCACCACCUAUGGGCAUGAUGCCGCCGCCGCCGCCGCCUCCCAGUGGGCAGCCCCCACCCCCUCCCUCUGGUCCUCUUCCCCCAUGGCAACAACAGCAGCAGCAGCCUCCGCCACCCCCUCCGCCCAGCAGCAGUAUGGCUUCCAGUACCCCCUUGCCAUGGCAGCAAAGAUCCCUCCCCGCGGCGGCGAUGGCCCGAGCCAUGAGAGUGAGGACUUUCCGCGCCCAUUGGUGACCCUUCCAGGCAGACAGCCUCAGCAACGCCCCUGGUGGACAGGAUGGUUCGGCAAAGCAGCCUGAGUUAUUUUUGUGGACGGAAUCGGAACACGCUGGCUCCAUAUCGUGAAAUUUUUAUUAAUUUUUUUCUUUUUCCUUUGUUACUUCUUUAUCUUUUCCUUUCUUCAGACUCCGUCCAAGGAGAUGCUCUCCCCGGUCUUCUGCUGCAAUUUAGAUUCCUUUCCCUUCUCUCCAGUUCUCCUUCCCUUACCAAGGAGAGGGGAGCAAAUGGUUUUGGGCAAGGGCUUUGGCCAUUCAUGUCAAGCUGGUUGUGGGUUUUUCAAGGUGCCAUAGCCACCCCCAAAGAUGUUUGUUUAAAGCGUGGGGUUUUUUAAUCUCUGCCACCCUUGUCAAGGGAGUCUUGUAAAGUUGCCGAGGGUAGGUUCAUCUCCAGGUUUCGGGAUUCCCAUCCGUCCUGGCGAUCCUGCCAGCAGUGGGUGGGCAGCCUGAGCUCCCUCGGGCUCGCCUGCCAGCCUGGAGUUCUUCCUGUGCUCCUUGAUCACCUGAGCUGCCUCAGAUUCCAUUUGGUCCUCUCCUUCCUGGAAGGCUUCCUUUUAUGUUUUGUUUUAAUCCCAAAUGUCUGAAUGUUUUGCAGUGUGUAGGGGUUUGAGCCCCUUGUUCAUUCUCCUUCCUUUUUCCUCCCGCUUCCCUCUCCAUGAAGUGAUUCUGUUGACAAUAAUGUAUACUG